rnacentral:lncRNA from 1 species
CUAUAACUUACUGUCUUUCUCUCCUGUCCUCCCCUCCUCCCCAGAACAACCCCGGAAAUCCACCCAGGUAUUUCCAAGAAUAAUCUUCAGUCUCAACACCAAUCAAAGGAUUUCCCGACAAAAGAAGCUUUCCCUUUGGAAGAGCAAUGCUGGUUGAACUGAAUGUCCUCUAUAUCAGGGCAUAAGUCAAAUACAAGGUGCAUCUGAGAGUCUGAAGCCCUAUUUGAGAGAUAUAGUUUAUAUCUUUCUAAGGAGAACAGCAUUUUGGAAGGAAGAUGGAAUGAAGGUGGUGGAGCCAAUCCAUACUUUUCCUCAGAUGAGAUUAAGUUAUAUAUCUGUGACAAACUGGAUUCUGAGUGCCCAUUCAGAGCACAGUUAUGUUUUGGCUAAAUCUAGAGUGUAAAAUAUUAUGUUAUCACCAAGACUUCCUAUCUGCUUAUAAAGAAGCUUUAGAAUUGGACCAAUAAAAAAAAAAGCAAAGAAAACACCUGCACAUAAUUUACCACAAGCAAAGAUUGAACUACCUCAAACCUGACCCAAGAAUACCUCUUUCUCUGUGAGAAUGGUGAAAAAUCCUCAAAAUAAAUAGACCUGCUUUUUAU